GGGCCUGUGGCCUAACCUGGAUAGGGCGGCAGCCCCCUAAGCUGUAGAUUGUGGGUUCAAAUCCCACCAGGCCCG
rnacentral:tRNA from 1 species